UUAAGUUCAGCGGGUAUCCCUACCUGAUCCGAGGUCAACCUGAGAAAGUGGGCCGGGGCCCGGUUUAUCCGGCAGGCGAAGCCCGACUCACAAGCGAAUAAAAUUUACCACGCUUAGAGAAAGGCACCACCGCCGAUAGCUUUAAGGCACGCUGGGGACCGACGAAGCCCAAUACCAAGCAGAGCUUGAGGGUUGUAAUG
rnacentral:misc_RNA from 1 species